AAAAAGAUAAGCUAAAUAAAGCCAAUGGGUUCAUACCCCAUUCAUAAAGGCACCAAUCCUUUUCUUUUUA
rnacentral:tRNA from 1 species